CGCUAGCUACGGGCUUAACACAUGCAAGUCGAGGGGUUUCAUUUCGCUAGCAAUAGUGAAGAUGGCGACCGGCGCACGGGUGAGUAACACGUAUCCAACCUGCCGAUAACUCGGGGAUAGCCUUUCGAAAGAAAGAUUAAUAUCCGAUGGUAUAUUAAGAUCGCAUGGUUUUACUAUUAAAGAAUUUCGGUUAUCGAUGGGGAUGCGUUCCAUUAGUUCGUUGGCGGGGUAACGGCCCACCAAGACUACAAUGGAGAGGGGUUCUGAGAGGAAGGUCCCCCACAUUGGAACUGACACACGGUCCAAACUCCUACGGGAGGCAGCAGUGAGGAAUAUUACUCAAUGGGCGAGAGCCUGAACCAGCCAAGUAUCGUGAAGGAUGAAGGCUCUAUGGGUCGUAAACUUCUUUUAUAUGGGAAUAAAGUUUUCCACGUGUGGAAUUUUGUAUGUACCAUAUGAAUAACGAUCGGCGAACUCCGGGCCCAGCAGCCGCGGGUAAUUCGGAGGGAUCCGAGCGUUAUUCGGGAUUUAUUGGGGUUAAAAGGAAGCGUAGGUGGAUUGUUAAGUCAGUGGUGAAAGUUUGCGGGUCAACCGUAAAAUUGCAGUUGAAACUGGCAGUCUUGAGUACAGUAGAGGUGGGCGGAAUUGGUGGUGUAGCGGUGAAAUGCUUAGAUAUCACGAAGAACUCCGAUUGCGAAGGCAGCUCACUAGACUGUCACUGACACUGAUGCUCGAAAGUGUGGGUAUCAAACAGGAUUAGAUACCCUGGUAGUCCACACAGUAAACGAUGAAUACUCGCUGUUUGCGAUAUACAGUAAGCGGCCAAGCGAAAGCAUUAAGUAUUCCACCUGGGGAGUACGCCGGCAACGGUGAAACUCAAAGGAAUUGACGGGGGCCCGCACAAGCGGAGGAACAUGUGGUUUAAUUCGAUGAUACGCGAGGAACCUUACCCGGGCUUAAAUUGCAACAGAAUAUAUUGGAAACAGUAUAGCCGUAAGGCUGUUGUGAAGGUGCUGCAUGGUUGUCGUCAGCUCGUGCCGUGAGGUGUCGGCUUAAGUGCCAUAACGAGCGCAACCCUUAUCUUUAGUUACUAACAGGUGAUGCUGAGGACUCUAGAGAGACUGCCGUCGUAAGAUGUGAGGAAGGUGGGGAUGACGUCAAAUCAGCACGGCCCUUACGUCCGGGGCCACACACGUGUUACAAUGGGGGGUACAGAAGGCGGCUACCUGGUGACAGGAUGCUAAUCCCAAAAACCUCUCUCAGUUCGGAUCGAAGUCUGCAACCCGACUUCGUGAAGCUGGAUUCGCUAGUAAUCGCGCAUCAGCCAUGGCGCGGUGAAUACGUUCCCGGGCCUUGUACACACCGCCCGUCAAGCCAUGAAAGCCGGGGGUACCUGAAGUACGUAACCGCAAGGAGCGUCCUAGGGUA
rnacentral:rRNA from 1 species